ACUAAAUCCGUACCAGAUACCGCAUCAGGUCUCCAAGGUGAUCAGCCUCUGGUUUAUUAGAAUAAUGUAGGUAAGGGAAGUCGGCAAAAUAGAUUCGUACCUUUGGAAAAAGGGUUGGCUCUUGGAGUAGCGUAUAGCGGGCAAUAUGUUUAUACCUCUCGACAACGUUAGUGGCAGCAUGGACUAUUUAUUAAGUUUCGGCCCAACGGUGGGAAGUGCAUGUAUUGAUUAGUUUGGUUGUAGCAAACUGUUGUGCAAGCCUAGAGGGUGAGCUCUCAAUGGCUGAAUGAUGUACAUGAAACUACUAACCGAGAACCUUUGGAUCUAGGGGAAUCCGACUGUUUAAUUAAAACAAAGCAAAGAGUGGUCUAAUUACUGGAUUAUCCUCUUUGUGAUUUCUGCCCAGUGCUUUGAAUGUCAAAGUGAAGAGAUUCAACCAAGCUCAGGUCAACGGCGGGAGUAACUAUGACUCUCUUAAGGUAGCCAAAUGCCUCGUCAUUUAAUUUGUGACGCGCAUGAAUGGAUCAACGAGAUUCCCACUGUCCCUAUCUACUAUUUAGCGAACUUACAGUCAAGGGAACGGGCUUGAGUAUAACAGCGGGGAAAGAAGACCCUUUUGAGCUUGACUUUAGUUUGAAUUUGUGAAGUAGCGCAAAGUGUGUAGAAUAGGUGGUAGCGUAAGCGUUGUGAAAGACCACUAACUUUGAUGCUAUUUCGCUAAUUAUGUUAACAAUUGCCUCUAAUCGUUCUAAACGGUUAGUGAUUUUUGAACAAGGAUAUUUUUAAUGUCAAAUUUUUACGUGAAACAUAUUCAGGUGGGAAGUUUGGCUGGGGCGGCACAUCUGUUAAAAAAUAACGCAGGUGUACAAUGAUCAACACAUUCAGGUCAGAAACCUGAAGUUGAGAAGCAGGUCAAUAGUUGAUUUGACCAACACUUUCAGUAAAAGUGUUGGACGUGAAAGCGUGUCCUAGCGAUCCUUUAUUCUUCAAUAUUUGAAAUUAGAGGUGUCAGAAAAGUUACCAGAGGGAUAACUGGCUUGUGGCGGUCAAGCGUCCAUAGCGACACCGCUUUUUGAUUCUUCGAUGUCGGCUCUUCCUAUCAUUGUGAAGCAGAAUUCACAAAGUGUCGGUUUGUUCAUCCGCUAGCAGGGAACGUGAGCUGGGUUUAGACCGUCGCGAGACAGGUUAGUUUUACCCUACUGUUAUGUGUAUUGAUAGUAAAUGAAUCAUAGUACGAGAGGAACUGUUUCAUCGAUUCACUGGGGCCUCGGUAAUAUGGUGGUGUUGUUUUGAAUGUCUACAAUCGUGUGAGUAUGGCUGGACGCCUCG
rnacentral:rRNA from 1 species